AGAGUUUGAUCAUGGCUCAGGACGAACGCUGGCGGCGUGCUUAACACAUGCAAGUCGAACGGAAAGGCCCUUCGGGGUACUCGAGUGGCGAACGGGUGAGUAACACGUGGGUGAUCUGCCCUGCACUCUGGGAUAAGCCUGGGAAACUGGGUCUAAUACCGGAUAGGACCGCAUGCUUCAUGGUGUGUGGUGCAAAGCUUUUGCGGUGUGGGAUGAGCCCGCGGCCUAUCAGCUUGUUGGUGGGGUAAUGGCCUACCAAGGCGACGACGGGUAGCCGGCCUGAGAGGGUGACCGGCCACACUGGGACUGAGAUACGGCCCAGACUCCUACGGGAGGCAGCAGUGGGGAAUAUUGCACAAUGGGCGCAAGCCUGAUGCAGCGACGCCGCGUGAGGGAUGACGGCCUUCGGGUUGUAAACCUCUUUCAAUAGGGACGAAGCGCAAGUGACGGUACCUAUAGAAGAAGCACCGGCCAACUACGUGCCAGCAGCCGCGGUAAUACGUAGGGUGCGAGCGUUGUCCGGAAUUACUGGGCGUAAAGAGCUCGUAGGUGGUUUGUCGCGUUGUUCGUGAAAACUCACAGCUUAACUGUGGGCGUGCGGGCGAUACGGGCAGACUAGAGUACUGCAGGGGAGACUGGAAUUCCUGGUGUAGCGGUGGAAUGCGCAGAUAUCAGGAGGAACACCGGUGGCGAAGGCGGGUCUCUGGGCAGUAACUGACGCUGAGGAGCGAAAGCGUGGGGAGCGAACAGGAUUAGAUACCCUGGUAGUCCAA
rnacentral:rRNA from 1 species